rnacentral:rRNA from 1 species
AUGAACGCUAGCGACAGGCCUAACACAUGCAAGUCGAGGGGCAGCACAAGGAGCAAUCUGAGGUGGCGACCGGCGCACGGGUGAGUAACACGUAUGCAACCUGCCUGUAAGCGGGGAAUAACCCGUUGAAAGACGGACUAAUACCGCAUAAUACUAAAUUACUGCAUGGUAAUUUAUUUAAACAUUUAUGGCUUACAGAUGGGCAUGCGCAUGAUUAGCUAGUUGGAGAGGUAACGGCUCCCCAAGGCAACGAUCAUUAGGGGUUCUGAGAGGAAGGUCCCCCACACUGGUACUGAGACACGGACCAGACUCCUACGGGAGGCAGCAGUGAGGAAUAUUGGUCAAUGGACGAGAGUCUGAACCAGCCAAGUCGCGUGCAGGAAGAAUGUCCUAUGGAUUGUAAACUGCUUUUGCAGGGGAAUAAAGUGCAUCACGUGUGAUGUUUUGUAUGUACUCUGCGGAUAAGGAUCGGCUAACUCCGUGCCAGCAGCAGC